rnacentral:rRNA from 1 species
GACGUAGGACGCGAGCGUUAUCCGGAUUUACUGGGCGUAAAGCGUCUGUAGGCGGAUGUGUAAGUUGGGCGUGAAAGCUCCGGGCUUAACCCGGAGAGGCCGUUCAAUACUGCAUAACUUGAGGGUGUCAGAGGGGAGCGGAAUUCCCGGUGUAGCGGUAAAAUGCGCAGAGAUCGGGAGGAACACCAGUGGCGGAGGCGGUUCCCUGGGGCACACCUGACGCUGAGAGACGAAAGCUAGGGGAGCGAACAGGAUUAGAGACCCUGGUAGUCCUAGCCCUAAACGAUGAAUGCUAGGUGUGGGAUCGAAUGGUUCCGUGCCGGAGCGAACGCGAUAAGCAUUCCGCCUGGGGAGUACGGCCGCAAGGUUAAAACUCAAACGAAUUGACGGGGCCCCGCACAAGCAGCGGAGCGUGUGGUUUAAUUCGAUGCUACACGAAGAACCUUACCUGGGUUUGACAUGUAGGUGGUAGUGAAUCGAAAGGUGAACGACCCUUCGGGGAGCCUACACAGGUGCUGCAUGGCUGUCGUCAGCUCGUGCCGUGAGGUGUCGGGUUAAGUCCCGUAACGAGCGCAACCCUUGCUCCUAGUUACAAGUGUCUAGGGGGACUGCCGGCGGAAAGCCGGAGGAAGGUGGGGAUGACGUCAAGUCAGCAUGGCCCUUAUAUCCAGGGCUACACACACGCUACAAUGGUCGGUACAAAGGGCAGCGAAACCGCGAGGCGGAGCGAAUCCGAGAAAAGCCGAUCGUAGUUCGGAUAGCAGGCUGCAACCCGCCUGCUUGAAGCUGGAGUUGC